AUCCAGCUGACGAGCCCCAGAUAGGACGAAACGCGCGUCAAACUGGAU
rfam:Schistosoma mattheei strain Denwood, Zambia genome assembly, scaffold: SMTD_scaffold0000711